rnacentral:rRNA from 1 species
GACGAACGCUGGCGGCGUGCCUAAUACAUGCAAGUAGAACGCAGUUGCGAACGGGUGAGUAACGUGUAGGUAACCUGCCUCAUAGCGGGGGAUAACUAUUGGAAACGAUAGCUAAUACCGCAUACUGUGAGAUGGACCUGCGUUGUAUUAGCUAGUUGGUGAGGUAAAGGCUCACCAAGGCGGCGAUACAUAGCCGACCUGAGAGGGUGGUCGGGCAAACUGGGAAUGGGAAAAGGGCCAAACUCCUACGGGGAGCAGCAGUAGGGGAUCUUCGGAAAUGGGGGGAAAGCUGGCCGAGGAACGCCGCGGGAGUGGAGAAAGUUUUCGGAGCGUAAAGCUAUGUUGUGAGGGAAGCGGUAACUAAAGAGAAAGGGACGGCUAACUACGUGCCAGCAGCCGCGGUAAUAC